rnacentral:rRNA from 1 species
AGAGUUUGAUCCUGGCUCAGGACGAACGCUGGCGGCGUGCCUAAUACAUUCAAGUCGAGCGGAUGGAUUCAGAGCUUGCUCUGAUGAUGUCAGCGGCGGACGGGUGAGUAACACGUGGGUAACCUGCCUGACAGAUCGGGAUAACGCUUGGAAACGAGUGCUAAUACCGGAUAGGCUGCUUGGUCGCAUGACCUAGCAGG